rnacentral:rRNA from 1 species
GACGAACGGUCCAAACGUUAUUCGGAAUUACUGGGCUUAAAGGGUGCGUAGGCGGCGCGGUAAGUUGGGUGUGAAAUCCCUCGGCUCAACCGAGGAAUUGCGCUCGAUACUGCCGUGCUCGAGGGAGACAGAGGUGAGCGGAACUUAGGGUGGAGCGGUGAAAUGCGUUGAUAUCCUAAGGAACACCAGUGGCGAAAGCGGCUCACUGGGUCUCUUCUGACGCUGAGGCACGAAAGCUAGGGGAGCGAACGGG